UGGGAGAAGAAUCUUGCCCGGCAUUUGCACACUGGGAAGCCAGCCCUUUGUACAGCUUCGCCAUGGAUGACCUAACGGAAUGGAGGUGUUACAAGCCCUGUAGGAAAAUGGUGUGAAGAAGUCAGCUUACCAGCGUCUCCAUGCUGCUUCUGUGACACAAGACAUAAGCAAUGUUUGGUAGACCCUUGGACCCAAGCCAAGAGAAAGUAGUCAGGAUAGCAGGAAUAAAUCUCCCAGGACUCCUUGGCGUGGCCACUUCAAGACCCUUUCCUGCAGAGCAUGAAGCAAAUCCAGGUGCUGCUGGACAAGGUACCGUAAAGAGCCAGGGAAGAGGCUUGAAACAGAAUAGAGAGAGGAUCACACAAACCAGGUGUACAAAAGAAAAGGCUCUACAAGAAUAUAUGGAGGGGGACCCAUUUUCCCAUUGAAAAUAUUCUGAGUCACAGGUCUGUAUCUCGGAUUAAAAAAAAAAGUUUGGAGUUCCUGUCAUAGCGCAGUGGUUAAUCGACUAGGAGCCAUGAGGUUGCCGGU